rnacentral:rRNA from 1 species
GGUCAAGCUACUAAGGGCGUACGGUGAAUGCCUUGGCACCAACAGUCGAUGAAGGACGUGGCAAGCUGCGAUAAGCCCCGGUGAGCCGCAAGCAGGCUUUGACCCGGGGAUUUCCGAAUGGGGAAACCCACUCUGGCUAAUCCCGGAGUAUCCCAUCCUGAAUCCAUAGGGGUGGGAAGGCAACGCAGGGAAGUGAACCAUCUCAGUACCUGCAGGAAAAGAAAACAAGUCAGUGAUUCCGCUAGUAGCGGCGAGCGAACGCGGAACAGCCCAAACCAGGAGGCAUGCUUCCUGGGGUUGUAGGGCCCGUUUGGCCGCAAGGCCGCCGAGUGAUAAACCGGAUCGAUAGUCGAACCCUCUGGAACGUGGGACCAUAGAAGGUGACAGUCCUGUAGACGACAUCCAUCCGGCUCGGUGGACGGGUACCUGAGUACCGCGGGACACGUGAAAUCCCGUGGGAAUCUGCGAGGACCAUCUCGCAAGGCUAAAUACUCGUUGGUGACCGAUAGUGAACCAGUACCGUGAGGGAAAGGUGAAAAGCACCCCUGUGAGGGGAGUGAAAGAGUACCUGAAACCGUAUGCCUACAAGCAGUGGGAGGGCGUUUACCGGGGUAACCCGGUGUUGCCUGACCGCGUGCCUUUUGCAUAAUGAGCCGGCUAGUUA